CACAGGACACCUAACCUUCCCCUGAAUUGGGCAAGGAUGACUGUCAAAAAGAGAACUCGACUUGAAGCUCAAAGUUUAAAUUGUCUCCUGAACAUCUGGGAAGAAGGUUGUUUCCAUCUCUGUUCCCUGAAUGUUCUCAUCACCCCACGUGAACACCCCUACACUCCUACCCUUUGAGGUCUUGGAUGGAAACCACCUUGCAUGUGACUUUAAUUGACUUACAAGAUUAUACUCUGGAGAGUCAAAUCUAACAUUACAUUUAUGUCUCUCGCAGCACACACAAAGUUUUAAUGUAUUAUGAUAUGAUAGAAACAUGUUCUCUGACCAUUCAUCCUUCAAAAGCCCUCCCUGAUAGUGCAGCGGGUUAAAGCACAACACUAA